rnacentral:rRNA from 1 species
UUGAGCCUCACACUGUUUGAAAGACAGACAAGAUAAUGUUUUGAACAUUGUCCUGUCGGUUUCUUUGAAGCAGACCAGAAGUUAAAAAGUUAGAGAUUGAACAUAAGAGUUUGAUCCUGGCUCAGAUUGAACGCUGGCGGCAUGCUUUACACAUGCAAGUCGGACGGCAGCACAGAGAAGCUUGCUUCUUGGGUGGCGAGUGGCGAACGGGUGAGUAACAUAUCGGAACGUACCGAGUAGUGGGGGAUAACUG